UCCCGCAACGAGCGCAACCCCUAUCUUCUGUUGCCAGCGCGUCAUGGUGGGACUCAGGAGAGACUGCCGCAGACAAUGCGGAGGAAGGCGGGGAUGACGUCAAGUCAUCAUGCCCCUUAUGGCUUGGGCUACACACGUACUACAAUGGCUCUUAAUAGAGGGACGCGAAGGAGCGAUCCGGAGCAAACCCCAAAAACAGAGUCCCAGUUCGGAUUGCAGGCUGCAACCCGCCUGCAUGAAGCAGGAAUCGCUAGUAAUCGCAGGUCAGCAUACUGCGGUGAAUACGUUCCCGGGCCUUGUACACACCGCCCGUCACACCACGAAAGUCAUUCACACCCGAAGCCGGUGAGGUAACCUUACGGAGCCAGCCGUCGAAGGUGGGGGCGAUGAUUGGGGUGAAGUCGUAACAAGGUAACCUCAGUCAGUCA
rnacentral:rRNA from 1 species